rnacentral:lncRNA from 7 species
ACCAUCUCCAUGUCCCAUCCUGGCAGCAAAGUGAGCAGGAAUUCCAGCUGUGCCUUUUCUGACAUCGGUGCUGUUUGCAUACUUGCCUCUGGCUGUCCUGAAGAUAAGCAUCAUGGAAGCACCACGCUUGAUGGAGAAUGGAAAUACUCCACAGAACAGGAAAUGUUGUAAAGUAGUUUUAUAUACUUCAAUAUUUGUUUUGAUUAUGAUUUCAUUCUUGAUUUCUACAAUCUUCUAUUUGCUCCAUAAUGAACAGCCACGGGGGACGUGCUGGGCACAUGGACAAUUAAAAAAAUAUACUCCAACCAAAAACAGAGGUACCAUGAUCUGGGAAUGGAGCUUUGAAUACUGCCAGGGCUUGGUGAAGCAUUGCAACGAAUCCUUGAUGAUCAUGGAGAACGGCAACUACUUCAUCUACGCUCAGGUCAACCGCAAAACGGAGAUAAAUGAGUCUUUCAUGCUUGUGCUGUACAGAGAGCCAAACAUCGAUCUCAAUAGGGUUGUGGGGCCAAAGAAGGGGGAUGAAAAUGGUACAGUAAAUUUUGGUAGACCUUUUCGUCUGAAUAAGGGAGAUAAGCUGCAUUGUGAGAUAAAUGUCGAAUAUCCUGAAAGUAUUCUCCAUGGGAAUCAGACUUACUGGGGUCUUUAUAAAAUAUAGCAGGGUUCUGCUCUGAGUCAACUCCUCCCUUACAUGCUCCAGGAAACCUUAGGGCACUUAUCAUCAUGGAUUAAAAGCUUGCAAUUUCUCUUUACAUGAAGUUCAACUUGCUGGAGUGCAUGCCAUAGUAGGCUGGCAUCCUACAGCGACAGAGUAAGCUGUAAAACAAAGUAAAUAGCAAACUGUCAUAAUACUGGAUAGCCCUCGAUCACCACAAAGUACAAGAGAAAGAUGCUUCUGGAAGGAAGAGUCCUUGGUGCAUCACAGGAUCGACCCAAAGAUCCUGGAAAAACAGGUUUUAUUCAGUGUCCUGAGCUGAGGGGGAGUUCUGCUUUGUAGAUGGUUGCAUUUCAGAGCUGGGUACCUGCUGGAAUCUCGGUCCCUUCUAAUGAAAGGUGCUAUGCAAAACUAAGGUAUCGUAUAUCAUUCCUGCACAGCUUGCCCACAAAUGAUGCACUAGAGCCAAGGGAUGAAGCAGUUCAGAAUCAGCCUGUGGCAGAAGAAAAGCUUUUCAACUCCAUCUGCAUCUUUGCCCUCUUUUUGCUGCUAGCAAGGUAAACACCCCAUUGGAGUUUGCCAGGGGCAGCUUCCUCUUCUCGCUUGGUUCAGAGCACAAGGACCUUUGCAGUCAAGCCCAAGCAGUACUGCUCCUCUUUGAAUUCAUGUCACAUACCAGCACUAGCUGAGCAGCCUAGAAACACAACAAAUGCUACUCUGUGUAUCUAAAUAUUGGAAAGAGAACUAAAAAGCAUGUAUGAGGGCAGUAGGCAUGGAGGGCUGGAGCAAUGCUCCUAGCUUUUUUCACUACACUUUGUAGCAAGGCAGGGCAAAUUCAGUCCUGACACAAAAUGGGAAGGGUCAAGCACUCCUCCUGCCUCUGUUCCACUCAGGCAGCCAUGUCAGUACUGCCGCAGGGUGGUGGGAAACAUGAGCUAGAAGGGGAGCAGCACACCCUUCACCUGCUUGUGUAAAACCAUGGGUAUCAAGAUGGUGCUUGCUUCAAAGCCUUGGGAAUCUACUCUGCUUCCUGGGAUGAAUGUCACAUCACCUGCACAGCACACGAAGGUCUCAAGGCCCCUGCAAAGGCAAAGCACCCUUGGAAAACCAGUCUGCUGUAUCUGCAUUGUGGCCCAGGUGCCCCACGUUCCUCUCCCUUGCCUGGGCAGGUUGUCCCAGGGGCUACGUGCUUUGCUUUCCUGACACCUGGACCUUCACGCUGUCAUGCUCAGAGUUGAUAACAGCCUUGUGGAAGGAUGUGCAUGGGAAAGAAAAGCAACUGAGAUGCAGAAUGGAAAUGAAUAGUCAUGGGGGGUGAGUUGGGGCAGUUAGUGCUGCUGGCAGCUUUUACAAUUUUAUAUUCCAUGCAUUGUAAUUCUAAAGAACCAAGAGCCGACCUCUUACCAGGACGUCUGUAGUCUUGACAUCUGUUUCAUGCAAUCUUUGACUGAUGAAAACAUUACUCUUGUUCUUACUUUGUUUGGUUGAUUUCCCUUAGUUUAAAAUAAAAAAAUCAUACAAAC